ensembl:lncRNA LINC00847 long intergenic non-protein coding RNA 847
AGAGCCAUCGUGGCAGCCCUGGGCCUCCAUUUCAGACGUUCAUCUUGCCUAAGCCACCACCAUCAGGGUCUCAGUCAGUCAUCAUUCUCAUUUACUCGGGUGGCUGGGUGAGGGCGGAAUACUACCUUCCAGCUGUCUGAGAUUAAGCCUAAGCCACCACCAUCAGGGUCUCAGUCAGUCAUCAUUCUCAUUUACUCGGGUGGCUGGGCGAGGGCGGAAUACUACCUUCCAGCUGUCUGAGAUUAAGCAGAACAGCAGCUAAAGCAGUAACAGCAGGUCUCCUUCAGCAGCUUGCCACAGGGAAGAGGGUCCCGCGUGAACCGAACUCAACUUCCACCUGCGCAGAGGCUGGAGUAUAGUGGCAUGAUCAUAGAUCACUGCAGCCUCAAACUCCUGGGCUCAAGCGAUCCUCCCACCUCAGCCUCCAUAUAGCUGGUGGGGACCAAGUUUCUAACACAUGAAUGUUGGGAGACACAUUCAGACCAUCGCAGUGGCCUUAUAAAAAGAGACACAAGAGCUUGCUCUCUGCCAUGUGAGAAUACCACAAGAAGACUGUCCUCAGCAAAUCAGAAAGCGGGUGGACCCUCAUCAGACACCAGAUGUGCCUGCACCUUGAUCUUGGACUUGCCAGCCUUCAGAACAGUAAGAAAGAAAUGUGUGUUGUUUAAGCCACCCAGUCUAUGGUAACUUGCUAUAGCAGCCCACUAGGAGACCCCAAGAUAUUUAAAAACUCAUCAGCACCUGCUUUCUGCAUCUGGACCCUGAUCUUCUGGUGGGUUUACCAGUUACUUGUAGAGUGUCCCUGUGAUAGUUUUAGGUGUCAACUUGACAGGAUUGAGGGAUGCCUAGAUGGCUGGGGAAGCACUGUUUCUGAGAAGGACCAUGUUUUUGGAGGAGACUGUUUUAUGAGUGAAUUUCAGGGGACACAUUCAGAUCAUGGCAGUGGCAUUAUAAAGAGAGACACAAAAGCUUGCUCUCUCUCUCUGCCAUGUAAGACUACCACACAAAGACUGCCAUCUGCAAACCAGAAGCAGGUGGGCUUUCCUCAGACACCAGAUCUGCCUGCACCUUGAUCUUGGACUUGCCAGCCUUCAGAACUCUAAGAAAGAAAUGGUAGCAUGGCUUGGUCUAAGUUGGAAGGCCUGAGAAACAAGCACAUGGUGGAACUGAGUUCAAGGAUAAAGACUUGAGAAUACCUGCUCAGUGGACUGAGUAGGGAAGAUCAACCCUCAAUGUAGGCAGGCACUAUCCAAUCACCUGAGGGCCCAGAUGGAACAAAAAGGUGGAAGAAGGGUGAAUUCUCUCUUCCAGAGCUGUGACACCCUUCUCAUGCCCUUGUACCACACAACUCUAGGUCCUUUGGCCUUUGGACUCUGACACUUGCACCAGUGGCCCUCUGGGGCUCUCAAGCCUUUAGCCUUGAACUUAGUUACACCAUGUGCCUCCUUGUUUCUCAGGCCUUCCAACUUGGAUCAGGCCAUGCCACCGGCUUCUCUGAUUCUCCAGCUUGCAGAUGGUAUAUUGUGACCCUGGCAUUUAAUAACUAUGACUUUGGUCUUAAGCAAUUUUCUUCCUCUGUGGAUUGAUAUUUACAUAUCAAUGUGGAUAAUAAUUUCUUACCACGGUAACUGUUGUGAGGUAAAAAUGAGUUAACAUAAGUAAAACCGAGCACAUGCAAACCAUCCGAAAUGGUUAAUACUUACUAUUUGUACUUGAAGAAAUAAAUGUUUUUGACAAUAAACUUCUUGUGCAGUUUUCCUCA